AUCCAUGAUGUAGCAAUACAUCGGAAGAUCUAGUGGCGAACGGGUGAGGAUCACGUGAGAAACCUGCCCCAGACUCUGGGAUAACAAUUGGAAACGAUUGCUAAUACCGGAUGACGUCGGAGAACCGCAUGGUUCACUGACGAAAGAUAUUUCGGUUUGGGAGGGUCUCGCGGCCUAUCAGCUUGUUGGUGGGGUAAUGGCCUACCAAGGCAACGACGGGUAGCUGGUCUGAGAGGAUGAUCAGCCACACUGGGACUGAGACACGGCCCAGACUCCUACGGGAGGCAGCAGUGGGGAAUCUUGCGCAAUGGGCGAAAGCCUGACGCAGCAACGCCGCGUGCGGGAUGAAGGCCUUCGGGCUGUAAACCGCUUUCAGCAGGAACGAAAAUGACGGUACCUGCAGAAGAAGGAGCGGCCAACUACGUGCCAGCAGCCGCGGUGACACGUAGGCUCCAAGCGUUGUCCGGAUUUAUUGGGCGUAAAGAGCUCGUAGGCGGUUUAGUAAGUCGGGUGUGAAAACUCUGGGCUUAACCCGGAGACGCCAUCCGAUACUGCUAUGACUUGAGUUCAGGAGGGGAGCGGGGAAUUCCUAGUGUAGCGGUGAAAUGCGCAGAUAUUAGGAGGAACACCGGUGGCGAAGGCGCCGCUCUGGACUGAAACUGACGCUGAGGAGCGAAAGCAUGGGUAGCAAACAGGAUUAGAUACCCUGGUAGUCCAUGCCGUAAACGGUGGGCACUAGGUGUGGGUUCCAACUAACGGGAUCCGCGCCGUCGCU
rnacentral:rRNA from 1 species